rnacentral:rRNA from 1 species
GAUGAACGCUGGCGGCGUGCCUAACACAUGCAAGUCGAACGGAGUCGUUUUGGAAAUCUCUUCGGAGAUGGAAUUCUCGACUUAGUGGCGGACGGGUGAGUAACGCGUGAGCAAUCUGCCUUUAAGAGGGGGAUAACAGUCGGAAACGGCUGCUAAUACCGCAUAAAGCAUUAAAUUCGCAUGUUUUUGAUGCCAAAGGAGCAAUCCGCUUUUAGAUGAGCUCGCGUCUGAUUAGCUAGUUGGCGGGGUAACGGCCCACCAAGGCGACGAUCAGUAGCCGGACUGAGAGGUUGAACGGCCACAUUGGGACUGAGACACGGCCCAGACUCCUACGGGAGGCGGCAGUGGGGAAUAUUGCGCAAUGGGGGAAACCCUGACGCAGCAACGCCGCGUGAUUGAAGAAGGCCUUCGGGUUGUAAAGAUCUUUAAUCAGGGACGAAACAAAUGACGGUACCUGAAGAAUAAGCGCCGGCUAACUACGUG